rnacentral:misc_RNA from 1 species
UCUCUCUCUCUCUCUCCCCCUCUCCUUCCGUCUCCUGUACCUCAAAAUCCUAUCAACCCUCGUAAUAAAAAUUCUCUCUCUAUUCCUAUUCACCCAUGUAUAUAUAAUUAAUGGCUAUCUGUCUUCAGAUCUGCCUUGCUUGCCUUCUUCUGCCAUUUUCAUCUUAAACAAGAUCCAUGUAAAACGAAAACUGAGACCUUCUCCUCCCUCUAUGCGUAUCAGAUUCGAAGAGCUAUAACAUGGGUCGUCUGUUCACGAUCGGGCUAAUAACAGCAUGGUACUCCUCAAACAUUGGAGUAUUAUUAUUAAACAAGUACUUGCUUAGCAACUACGGAUUCAAGUACCCAAUUUUCCUCACCUUAUGUCACAUGAUGUCGUGUUCUUUGCUCAGUUACAUUGCCAUUUCAUGGCUCAAGGUUGUGCCUUUGCAGACGAUAAGAUCAAAAGUGCAGUUUUUCAAGAUAUCUUCACUUGGGAUCAUUUUUUGCUUAUCCGUUGUUACUGGCAAUGUUUCGCUUAAGUAUCUUCCUGUGUCGUUUAAUCAGGCCAUUGGGGCUACCACUCCCUUUUUCACUGCUGUUUUUGCAUAUUUAAUGACAUUGAAGAGGGAGAGUUGGGUUACUUACGUCACUCUCAUUCCUGUUGUUACUGGUGUUGUCAUCGCCAGUGGGGUAAUAACUUCAACAUUUUCUUCUUCUAAUUUGUUAAUAUCGUUAGUUCUAAUCUACUUUUUGUGAUAUUUUUGCCAAUUUUGUUCUUGAAAUUGCUAAAAAAGUCCAGUGCUUACAUUGAAAGAACAAUAAUUAAUUGUCUGAUGGAUUUAUCAUUGUUAAUUAUUGAAAAAUUAAGAGAAUUAGGUUAAUAAUGUUUGUUUUGGUGAUUGAUGUUAUAAUUUUUUUCUUGUUACAUGACCAAAGGGAGAACCAAGUUUUCAUCUCUUUGGUUUUAUAGUGUGUAUUGGUGCUACAGCAGCACGUGCACUCAAGACAGUGUUUCAAGGGAUUUUGCUGUCUUCUGAAGGGGAAAAACUCCAUUCAAUGAACCUAUUAAUGUAUAUGGCUCCUGUAGCUGUUGCUUUCCUUAUUCCUACUGCAAUUUUUAUGGAAGGAGAUGUAGUUGGGAUCACAAUUGCCCUUGCCAGGGAUGAUAUGAAAUUCAUACUGUAUCUGACCUUCAAUUCUGCACUGGCAUAUUUUGUGAACUUGGCCAAUUUCUUGGUCACUAAACACACCAGUGCCUUGACACUCCAGGUCCUGGGAAAUGCGAAAGGGGCUGUUGCAGUUGUUAUUUCAAUUUUGAUAUUCAGAAAUCCUGUAUCAGUGACUGGUAUGUUUGGAUACUCAAUAACUGUAAUUGGGGUCAUUCUCUACAAUGAAGCCAAGAAAAGGUACAAAUAAGACAGUCAUCAUGCAUGGUAUACAGAUACAGAUUCGAUCUUUUUUCUGACUUUUAUUUAACUGAAGAUAUAUUCAGCAGUAGCAAGCUUUGUGACUAAGGCUGUAAGUUCAUGUCACAGAUGCUAUAACUUGACCUCUUUCAAGUUCUGACAGUUAAUAGCAAGGAACCAUAAAAUAAAGGAAGGCUUUUUCUCAGCCAAGUGCUGCUGGGCAAUCUAUCUUCGCCUUGUUUGGAGGGUGGAGAAUAUUUUGACUGAUUCAUCCCUAAAACCUUUUUUUUUUGUUUUUCAUCUUUACAAAAUUUUGAUCACCAAAAGGUACAAUUUUGGUUAAUUGAUAGGAAGAUGAUAUGAGAAUUUUAGCUUUAUUGAUUCAUUUUUCUCCCCCUAGUGGUAGUCGACUUGUAUUCUCUGUACUGGCGCUUGGCAAUUGGCAUCUGCAAUUCAUUUGCAGCACCUUAAGAUGUACUUUAACUUUAUUUGUUUGAAAAGGCAUCCACAAAUUCUAU